GUCAUUGUGGCCGAGUGGUUAAGGCGCCAGACUUAAGAUACUAAUUCAAAUAGUAGAUUAAUAGGUAAUCUUGUUUGACAUUCUGGUCUUCGAAGAAGGCGUGGGUUCGUACCCCAUUCUUGACA
rfam:Daphnia pulex DAPPTscaffold_31_Cont1842, whole genome shotgun sequence.